UUACAAUGGCAGGUACAGAGGGGUGCUACCGGGUGACCGGAUGCCGAUCUCGAAAACCUGUCCCAGUUCGGACUGGAGUCUGCAACCCGACUCCACGAAGUUGGAUUCGCUAGUAAUCGCGCAUCAGCCAUGGCGCGGUGAAUACGUUCCCGGGCCUUGUACACACCGCCCGUCAAGCCAUGGGAGCCGGGGGCGCCUGAAGUCCGGGACCGCGAGGACCGGCCUAGGGCGAAACUGGUGACUGGGGCUAAGUCGUAACAAGGUAAC
rnacentral:rRNA from 1 species